CAUGCACUCCCCCUGGACACCCGGCCUCAAGCGCCUUGCCAUCAAACACUGGGCCCUGCAGCAAGCAAGAUCGCACCAAUCGUCGAGCUGCUUGCCAACUAAACUAACCCAACAAGAUCCUCCGCUGGUCUCGUGUAUCGAUCUGCUGCUGCCUGCUGCCUUGCUCCACCUGAGAGCGACGGACAGUAGUACUGCCAGCGAACAUCUUCACGAAACCAGCUGCUGACGGCUCACGGGUCCUCAAGCACCAGCACGACUUCACUAUCGCCAGCCACUACAGAAAGACGAACAAGGUUUCAGUAUUUUUCAGACCAACCUCCGCUAUAGGAGCGGGAGGGACAAAAAAAUUCUCAAGCGGAAAACCAUAGCAGAAGACACUUUGGCAAGCCAAGAAGCGCGCCGUCUCCCUUUCCCCUCGCCGCCGCAUAUCAGGUCCACGACCGAGCGCGCCCCCGUGCUGGUGUGGACGUGCGAGUAGAGAGACGGCGAGUCUACGGUUUCGUGCAGCCAGGCUGCUGCAUCGAACCAGAGUGAUUUUUUUCCACAUCGCUUUUGCGUCGCUGGGAAGAGGAUUGGUAGCGAACACGGCAUGAAGCGACGCCAGAGUUCCGUCAGUCUGCCGUAUCUCAGCUUCAUCAGUCAAGAAGAAGGUCAGGUGCAGCGUGCAGUCGUGCACCGGCUAGGUGUCAAUGGCAACCAAACAGUGGCGAACUUGGCUGGAGCCGGAGGUCGUGGUCCAUUUUCAUGCUCACGGACCUGGAGUACCAACAUCUUAGAGGGGUGGGUCUUUUCUUUUGCAGCCUCCUACAUACAACCUUAAUUAGAGAUCGAAAAUUAACAAAACACACACCAUAAAAAAGAGAACAUCCUUGGAAAAAAAACAUGUCCUCCGAUCAAGCGCCCUCUAAUCUAGCAUUAGGAGACCCAGGACAUUAAAACUCUCCCUCUUGGCUCUUUUACACAAUGAGCAACAAAAACAUAAGCUCUUUGAAUUGUUCUCCCCUUUUGACUCUGGAUGGGCUUCAAUAGUUGCUUCGCGUUUGUUCCACAUAUUGAAGUUUAUUAAAGCUUGACCUGUUUACUUCACAAUAAAAUCUAGAAUAAAUCUAGAAGGCUCACUCAUGUAUGAUGGGAGGAGGAGCGAUGGGCUUUAGUCCUACAAGAGAAGUAGAAAGGGGUAAAGGACACCUUGUGUCUUGCCACUCCGUAAAAGGAAGCAUAAGAGAGAGUAAGCUAAAUCCAAACACACAAGCGUAAGUACACAUGUUUCACGUUUCUUGUAUGAUUAUUCGAGUGACUUAUUACCACUUGAGUGGUACAGUAGGUUAUGGACUUCACAAUAUUAGGUAUUCUAAAGUACUUAAGCAAUAUAGUGAUUCUAAUUGUAUCUCUGAUGCUGAUUUAAUCAAGGCAACAAGUGGAUAUGUCAUAUAGAGCUCUUAAUGGAUUUAUCGAUAGUGGGAAAUCAAUUCUAGAUCUUAAUGGGUUUAUCAAUCUCCAAUUCGAUUGUGGAAAAACCAAACAGUUAUCACAAAAAAGGCAAGUUCAAAAGAUAUCUAGAGUCCUCAAGGCAUGUGAAAAGACGAAAGUUUUUUUUCAAUUUUUUUGAGAAACUCCAAAGUAACAGCUAUCGAUUAUGUAACACUACCGGAAUCCGACUCUUUGCCAAGUGCUAAAUCUCUUUUGUCGUUUUCUACAAUAAUAUGACUUUGCCUUGUGUGCCAAGCUAGUUCUGAAAUGAAUAGAUCAAACCAUAGAGAUCGUAACCAAGUCAGUUUCUUCUCUUUUGUGCAUGGUUAUCCUGAGUGUUGGAAUAUAAUAUAAGUGAAUUGCUCGUCCCCUCCUACCAGCUUAAGAUUUUGGGUUGAAUUGGUUGGUGCAUGAAACUUAAUAUGGUACCAGAACCAGAUGUCUCGAGUUUGAAUCAUGGUUAACAUAAUUAAAUAAAAGAAUUAUUACUUGCUCCUAUUCCAUGUCUGAGAGCCAAGAGAGCCUCGACGUUAGGGGGAGUGUUAGAAUAUAAUAUAAGUGAAUUGUCCACCCCCUCCUAUCAACUUAAGAUUUUUGGUUGAAUUGGUUGGUGCAUGCAACUUAGUACUGAGCCUAAUCCCUAUAUAUUAGAGAGGGUGUUCUCCCUAAAAGGUAAGAGGAACAACCAAUCUACUACACGCUAGGGUUUUAGAUGAGGGAGUCCUUAGUGCUACAUGUCAACCCUAGGCUUGUCCAUAUCUGAUAUUAGCGUGACAAUGGCAGCGAAGAGAGUAGUGUCUUUAAAAUCUCGUACAACUAAAGAACCUCCAUGGGCUAGGGUGAAUCAGGUUUUUAGGCAACGAUUACUCAUUGAGUUGUUCUGCACUGCGAUAUCUACGGACUUUAAUGACAUCACAAAUAAUCUUCGACUAGGUUGGAACGAUCCUCACUGUAAGUAAUGAUGAGUUCCUCUCAUGUUUUUAUUAGAUGUGUUCAAAACAUAUUUAAUUUGCUACGUGAACAUGAUAUUAUUUCUAUGCAUGGUUUAUCCACUAUUUAUAUAGUGAUUGCUUUAGGAAUUAAUUUAAUCUUAAAAGUGUGCAACUAUCUAACAAUCUGAAAACAUGAUGGGGACUUAAAGUGGGUAAUAACUUUGUUGAUGUGAUAAAACCUAAGAAGUUCGGUGCAUCAAACUUUAAGAGACGGUCUACAAAACUUGAUUUGUGCCUCGUUGCUACGGACAAGUCUUGGGUUGUCAAGCCUUGUGAAGGUCCUCUAACUAUUGAAAAUAAAGGGAGUUUGACAAGGACAAUGUGAUAGCAGUAGAAUGCAUUUUAAGUGUGUUGGCUGAUAAGCUUUAUGAUAUGUACAUGAACAUAAAGAGUGCAAGAGAGCUCAUGGAGUCUAUCAAAUAUAAAUACGGUGACUCUAAUGCCAGACAUGAGUUGUAUGUCA